CUCUGCCCAGCUCCGCCAAGCGCCCUCCUCCUCCUCCCCCCGCUAAUGCACAACUGCACAUAAAGGUUGUCUGGAAGGUGAAGGGCACAUGCAUCUGCCAGGGCUCUGAUAACAGCCGCCCCCCCACAGCCUCACGCCGUCAGGCGGCCCGACUCCACUGAUCCCAGCAGCCAUCAGCAUGCCGCUCCCCACUUUGGAGCACUUUGAACACGCCAGCGCCUUGGCCCGCACACGUCAGCCCCCACCCCCCGUCCUGACAUGCGCUGGUUCAUCAUACAUGUAGUUACUACAUACAUUUGGAAGAACCAAGGUGACGCUUCCUGCUGAUGAUUGGUCCACUCAGAGGCAUCUGCACCUCCGUCUCACAACAAAGAAGCUGUUCCUUUAACUGAAGGAAAAUGGACGGAAGUUGCACCAAAAUAAAGAAAAAUCCAGCAUCGAGCUCAAAAACCUCCCAGUGAGAUCAGAACAGUUCUUUUAGCUGAGCUGUUUAGAGCUCCAGGAUCAUUUUGUGAUUCCAAAUCAGACAAAACGGCAGCAUUUCAACACAUUUGUGAGCCAUUAAAGACAGACGCUGGAUUAAAGUUUCCAUCCUAAAACUUUUCUUCUGCCUGUAGUUUACAAACUGAAACAUCAAAGUUGGUUUUCAGUGAAAUUUCCCUCUGUGUGCAAAAAUCUGCAAAAUUUUCCUCAGAGCAAAUUAUUAUUUUUAUGCCUCUGCUUUCUUGAUUAUAUCUUUUUUUUUUCCUGCAGGAUUUGGGGAUUUUUCUGGUAGGAAGCUCUCUUAUUUACUAUUGAGAGCUUUACUUUUUAACUUCUCACACUCAGUGGAAGACAUAAAGACCUGACAUGUAUCACUAAAAUACUCUCUUUGGGGAAAAAUGUUUGAAAAACAGAAAACAUUCACUUUGCAACAAAUCUGAACAAUUCAAACUCCUUUCAGGUCAAGGUCUCCUCAUGAUCUCAGAGCUGUCACCAAGUGUUUUAAACGUUGAACCAGGAGCAGACUGGAAGCUCGGUGGUGUUGUGAGUCAGUGGUGGGUUUGAAUUGCAGCAGGUUUCCCCUCAUCCGUGCAUUCACAGAACCGUCCUGAACGCUGGUGCGUCUGCGGCUCUGAUAUCUGCUCUCUGACUCUGGGGCGGCUUUAGUCUGCCGUUUGUGCCCGGAGGCUCCACAGGGAGGUGCUGUGGACGUCUGUGAAGUUCCCUCCUGAUGAAUACUGCAUAUUGUCUGCCUCUCCCAAGCUGUGAAAGGCUUUUUUCCAGUUUCCUGGCUGGGAUCUUCAGAUAUUUCUCCACUGUUGAGGUGAAAUCAGCAGAUCUGCUGGCGUCUGUUUGAAGAAACAUGUUAGGGUGAGAGCUGCUGCUCAAACCGAGGGAACACCCCUGCUGGACAAAGACAGGCCUGUGACCCCGGUCACUUCCCCUUUGACCUUCUGAGGAGGAGCGGAUGUUCCUGUCACAGCUGUGAGUUGAACUUUAGUAGAUCGUGUCCGAGCAGAAACGGCAGAGUUUUGGCAAACAUCUGAAACAAUAAAGACUCCAAAGCGGUUUUGUGUUUAUGCUCUGUGAUGGGGUCUUCUCCAGUAAGCACAUCACAGGUGAAUUCAAACCAGCUGCUUACUGAGACUCACACCACAACUGUCAUCAGAAAACAUCUGUACUGCAGAAACCCCAAACCUCAUUUCCACUCAAACUAACUUUAACACAGAAGGAAGGAAAGCUUUUUUCUCAGACUGUGGAACAAGGAAAAAAACUCUCUAAAUGUUAGACUCGUGGUAGUUUGAUACUUUUUGGAGAGCAGCUGGAGAAUUAUUUUCUAUUUCUUGUUCCAGACAUGAGUGACUCAGAACUGACCAGGAGGAACCCAGGUUCUAAAUAGCAGUUCCACUUCAAAUGUUCUUUAAACUCAAACUUUCUUUCUGUCAGGGAACAGCAGACACUUUUAAAGGCGGAGAUUCUUUCCUCUGCCUUUGUUCAUUUAAAUCAAAAUGCAUCACAGUAAAGUGAAAGCCUCAAGUCUGUCAUGAAAAUGUGUUUUUCAUCAAAACCAUCCUGACAGACAGGACCUCUCCAUCCAUUCAAGAACUCACCAAGAAAAUGCUUGUAUUUCAGGUAAAAAGGUCUCAUUAGAAGCAGUGACUAAAGGGUCAAAUCUGGGAUCAAAUGUGUUUCACUUUUAAUCUGAGAACACUCUCUCAAUAAAGUGGGAUGUGUAAAAUAACUGAACUGAACCAUCAUGAAAUGUUACCUGUCCAGUUAUCAUGUCUUAUUCCAGGUGUGAUGAGUUCAUUUGAGUGGACUCUCUGGGUAAAUGUGUGGGUUGAUGCUGUGCAGCUGACCUCUGUGACAGCGGCGCCCUCUGCUGGUCACAGGGAGUCAGUGCCUUUGUUUAUGUCCCCUUUCCCCAUGCGGGCUCUCCCUGCUCGACUGUCUCUGGCAGCUGAACCCAGGACUGACCACAUCAACACAACAGGAAGUUGAUAAAUCACGUGACGAGUCACAUGACACGCCAACUCUGCUUUAUCUGAGAAACUGCUCAGUAAAGCCUGGAUCCCUAUGAAGAUGCGGGUCGUGACCCUUCAUCUCAGCUACCAACCAACAGGUCAUCCUCUUCCUCCUCCAUACGUCUGUGUGUCACAUUGUUGUGUAAGUUACAUCUAAACUGUAAUAUAUCCCACAGUACUCUCUAUGUGUUUUAGAAGUAAUCCUCCUCUUGUGUCUCAGAAGGAUAAAUGUUCCUCUGCUCUUGCUUUUCCUUUGACUUAUCUCUUUGUGAUUCCUGUACAUCACAAACUAAAAUGAAGCAGCUCAAAAAUACUCCAACUCGCCCAGAACUGCAGGACAGCGGUUGGCCCGGUGACAUAAACACAUGACAUUUAAGGGUUUUGGUCUGUGGAUCCCAACAGACGUUUCAUCUGGCUUAAACUGGGUUGACUGCACAGAUUUUCCUUCCACCCAUUUUCUUGAGCCGUUAUAUCCCUU